AUUGAACGCUGGCGGCAGGCCUAACACAUGCAAGUCGAACGAGUGGCGGACGGGUGAGUAAUGUUUGGGCAACUGCCUGAUGGAGGGGGAUAACUACUGGAAACGGUAGCUACUACCGCAUACCAUCAGAUGUUCCCACAUGGGAGUUGUUUGUGGGUGGGGUAACGGCUCACCAAGGCGACGAGCCCUAGCUGGACUGAGAGGAUGACGAGCCACACUGGAACUGGGACACGGUCCAGACUCCUACGUGAGGCAGCAGUGGGGAAUAUUGCACAAGGGGCGCAAGCCUGAUGCAGCCAUGCCGCGUGUAUGAAGAAGGCCUUCGGGUUGUAAAGUACUUUCAGCGGGGAGGCGUUACCCGCAGAAGAAGCACCGGCUAACUCCGUGCCAGCAGCCGCGGUAAUAC
rnacentral:rRNA from 1 species